ACGGGUGCGUAACGCGUAUGCAACCCACCCGCUGUCGGGGGAUAGCCCGGAGAAAUUCGAAUUAAUACCCCAUGAGGAGGAGAUGAGGCAUCUCGUUUCUUUCAAAACUUCGGUGACGGCGGACGGGCAUGCGUGCCAUUAGAUGGUUGGCGGGGUAACGGCCCACCAAGUCGACGAUGGCUAGGGGAUCUGAGAGGACGGUCCCCCACACUGGUACUGAGACACGGACCAGACUCCUACGGGAGGCAGCAGUAAGGGAUAUUGGUCAAUGGGGGGAACCCUGAACCAGCCAUGCCGCGUGAGGGAAUAAGGCCCUACGGGUCGUAAACCUCUUUUGCCGGGGGAUAAGGACAGCUACGUGUAGCUGUUUGAAGGUACCCGGAGAAUAAGCAUCGGCUAACUCCGUGCCAGCAGCCGCGGUAAUACGGAGGAUGCGAGCGUUAUCCGGAUUUAUUGGGUUUAAAGGGUGCGCAGGCGGGCGAUUAAGUCAGCGGUGAAAGGCUCGGGCUCAACCGGAGCAGUGCCGUUGAUACUGGUUGCCUUGAAUGCGGUCAAGGCCGGCGGAAUGUGGCGUGUAGCGGUGAAAUGCAUAGAUAUGCCACAGAACACCGAUAGCGAAGGCAGCUGGCCGGGCCUGCAUUGACGCUGAGGCACGAAAGCGUGGGGAUCGAACAGGAUUAGAUACCCUGGUAGUCCACGCGGUAAACGAUGAUAACUAGUUAUUCGCCCCGACUGGGGGGUGAGUGACCGAGCGAAAGCGUUAAGUUAUCCACCUGGGGAGUACGCCGGCAACGGUGAAACUCAAAUGAAUUGACGG
rnacentral:rRNA from 1 species